CACGGGGGGAGCAAGCGUUGUUCGGAAUCACUGGGCGUAAAGGGCGUGUAGGCGGUCAGGUUAGUGAGAUGUGAAACGCCCCGGCUCACCCGGGGACCUGCAUCUCAAACUGCCUGGCUUGAGUAUGGGAGAGGAUGAGGGAAUUCCUGGUGUAGCGGUGAAAUGCGUAGAUAUCAGGAGGAACACCGGUGGCGAAGGCGGCCUUCUGGACAGUGACUGACGCUGAGACACGAAAGCGUGGGGAGCAAACAGG
rnacentral:rRNA from 1 species